rnacentral:rRNA from 1 species
GAUGAACGCUGGCGGCGUGCCUAAUACAUGCAAGUCGAGCGAACAGACGAGGAGCUUGCUCCUCUGACGUUAGCGGCGGACGGGUGAGUAACACGUGGAUCACCUACCUAUAAGACUGGGAUAACUUCGGGAAACCGGAGCUAAUACCGGAUAAUAUAUUGAACCGCAUGGUUCAAUAGUGAAAGACGGUUUUGCUGUCACUUAUAGAUGGAUCUGCGCCGCAUUAGCUAGUUGGUAAGGUAACGGCUUACCAAGGCAACGAUGCGUAGCCGACCUGUGAGGGUGAUAGGCCACACUGGAACUGAGACAGGGUCCAGACUCCUACGGGAGGCAGCAGUAGGGAAUCGUCCGCAAUGGGCGAAAGCUUGACGGAGCAACGCCGCGUGAGUGAUGAAGGUCUUCGGAUCGUAAAACUCUGUUAUUAGGGAAGAACAAAUGUGUAAGGAACUAUGCACGUCUUGACGGUACCUAAUCAGAAAGCCACGGCUAACUACGUG